rnacentral:rRNA from 1 species
CAUAAGCGGAGAAAAGAAACCAACAGGGAUUGCCUCAGUAACGGCGAGUGAAGCGGCAACAGCUCAAAUUUGAAAUCUGGCCCCUUCGGGGUCCGAGUUGUAAUUUGCAGAGGGUGCUUUUGGUGUUGGCCGUGGUCUAAGUUCCUUGGAACAGGACGUCACAGAGGGUGAGAAUCCCGUACGUGGCCGCCGGCCCUCGCCUUGUAAAGCCCCUUCGACGAGUCGAGUUGUUUGGGAAUGCAGCUCUAAAUGGGAGGUAAAUUUCUUCUAAAGCUAAAUACCCGCCAGAGACCGAUAGCGCACAAGUAGAGUGAUCGAAAGAUGAAAAGCACUUUGGAAAGAGAGUGAAAAAGCACGUGAAAUUGUUGAAAGGGAAGCGCUUGCGGCCAGACGUGCCCGCGGUUGUUCAUCUGGGCUCUCGCCCGGUGCACUCCUCCGCGGGCAGGCCAGCAUCAGUUUGGGCGGUCGGACAAAGGUCUCUAUCACGUACCACCCCUCGGGGUGGCCUUAUAGGGGAGACGCAACACGGCCAGCCUGGACUGAGGUUCCGCGCAUCUGCUAGGAUGCUGGCGUAAUGGCAGCAAGCGGCCCGUCUUGAAACACGGACCAAGGAGUCUAACAUCUAUGCGAGUGUUUGGGUGUCAAGCCCGAGCGCGUAAUGAAAGUGAACGGAGGUGGGAACCCCUCGGGGCGCACCAUCGACCGAUCCUGAUGUCUUCGGAUGGAUUUGAGUAAGAGCAUAGCUGUUGGGACCCGAAAGAUGGUGAACUAUGCCUGAAUAGGGUGAAGCCAGAGGAAACUCUGGUGGAGGCUCGCAGCGGUUCUGACGUGCAAAUCGAUCGUCAAAUUUGGGCAUAGGGGCGAAAGACUAAUCG